rfam:Firmicutes bacterium CAG:882 genomic scaffold, scf221
UUUGGGAGAAACUUAGAUAUUCUUUGAACUUCAUAAGCAGCUCAGCCGGAGCCAACAAGGAUGUUGGCUCAGAUGCCACCGACCACGGAUGGUCGUUUGGCAUCGGCGGCGUAUGCAUAUCAAUGAUUCUUUGAAGUUCUUAGAAUAUCUUAGUUUCGUACAAC